rnacentral:rRNA from 1 species
UACAGAGGUGGCAAGCGUUGUUCGGAAUUACUGGGCGUAAAGGGCGCGUAGGCGGUCCGAUAAGUCCCGUGUGAAAUCCCUCGGCUCAACUGAGGAAUGGCACGGGAAACUGACGGGCUUGAGUUCGGGAGAGGGAAGCGGAAUUCCAGGUGUAGCGGUGGAAUGCGCAGAUAUCAGGAGGAACACCAAUAGCGAAGGCAGCUCGCUGGGACGUUACUGACACUGAGGCGCGAAAGCGUGGGGAGCGAACAGG